UACGUAGGCAGCGAGCGUUGUUCGGAGUUACUGGGCGUAAAGCGUGCGUAGGCGGUUGUCUAAGUUUGGUGUGAAAUCUCCCGGCUUAACUGGGAGGGUGCGCCGAAAACUGGGUGACUGGAGUGUCGGAGAGGUAAGCGGAAUUCCUGGUGUAGCGGUGGAAUGCGCAGAUAUCAGGAGGAACACCAAUAGCGAAGGCAGCUCGCUGGGACGGUAUUGACGCUAAGGCGCGAAAGCGUGGGGAGCAAACAGG
rnacentral:rRNA from 1 species